UACGAAGGGGGCUAGCGUUGCUCGGAAUCACUGGGCGUAAAGGGUGCGUAGGCGGGUCUUUUAAGUCAGGGGUGAAAUCCUGGAGCUCAACUCCAGAACUGCCUUUGAUACUGAAGAUCUUGAGUUCGGGAGAGGUGAGUGGAACUGCGAGUGUAGAGGUGAAAUUGUAGAUAUUCGCAAGAACACCAGUGGCGAAGGCGGCUCACUGGCCCGGUACUGACGCUGAGAGUGCGAAAAGCGUGGGGAGCAACAGGG
rnacentral:rRNA from 1 species